rnacentral:lncRNA from 1 species
CUUGGCUAACUGCUAUAUGAGUAAGUUCUCAUUCAGUCUUACACUGGCCGUUGGAGGUGGUGGUGCAUUAUCUGCCUUUUACAGAUGAGGAAAGUAAUGCUCAAGAGGUUAAAUACCUUGCCAAGCGUCCCGGCUGGCCAGCCGAGGAAUCAGGAUUCAAGCGAAGGCGUCUGACUACAGCCUUUGCUCCAAAGCAGUAUGCUGCACUAAAACAAACAAACAAACAAACAAAAAACAAAGAAGAAGGGCAUUUCAGGACAAGAAAACAGCACCUUGAAAGGCCCAGAAGCCUGAAUGAACACAGAGCCUGCGAGUUAUAACUCAGGUGGCCUAAGUGGCAAGGAAAACAGGAACCAUUUCCUUCUGGAGAAAAGACCUGUCCAUCCUGUUCUCUUUUCCUUUGGGCGUCUCUUCUCUUCAACCUCCUGUCUCCCAUGUGACUAACUGGUAGGCGCAUUUGGGUUUAGCCUUAAGGAGAAGGAAGGGUCUAAUUGAGCCACUCCUGCCAGAGUUCCUGGCCUCAGAGUUUCACACACAAACCCAGGAACAACAAAAUGUUCCCGCAGCCAGACUGAAAUUUGACCUCACUCUAGC